rnacentral:rRNA from 1 species
UACGGAAGGCAGCAGUGGGGAAUAUUGCACAAUGGGCGCAAGCCUGAUGCAGCCAUGCCGCGUGUAUGAAGAAGGCCUUCGGGUUGUAAAGUACUUUCAGCGGGGAGGAAGGCGAUGUGGUUAAUAACCGCGUCGAUUGACGUUACCCGCAGAAGAAGCACCGGCUAACUCCGUGCCAGCAGCCGCGGUAAUACGGAGGGUGCAAGCGUUAAUCGGAAUUACUGGGCGUAAAGCGCACGCAGGCGGUCUGUUAAGUCAGAUGUGAAAUCCCCCGGGCUUAACCUGGGAACUGCAUUUUGAACUGGCAGGCUUGAGUCUCGUGAGGGGGUAGAAUUCCAGGUGUAGCGGUGAAUGCGUAGAGAUCUGGAGGAAUACCGGUGGCGAAGGCGGCCCCUGGGACGAGACUGACGCUCAGGUGCGAAAGCGUGGGGAGCGAAACAGGAUUAGAUACC